ensembl:lncRNA
GCAUGUGCUGGUGUUGGAUGCAUCCUGCAUGCAUGCAGCAGGAGUCCCGGCUGCACCUGGUGAGCUGCUGGGCACCCCCACCCCAAUAUGUCUAUUUGCACGAUUUAAAUGUCUUAGGAGGUGAAGAUGUUUGUUUAAGGUAGUUUAGGGGAGGCUUGGAGCAGAGUCAGAGAUGGCCUGAAGUUGCUUCUCCAACCCUCCCUCAGAACAAGACUGAGCCCUGUGAGGAAAUAGUGCAGACAGAGCCAAAAGAACUUCUCUAAGCAACCCUGGGGGGCUUGAGCUGCAGGGCUGACAUGAAAGAGUGAGUCAAGGUGGAGGAAGGCACAUCUCUCCUCUCCAUUCAGGAUAUCAGCGAGACUCUGUACUCCAGUCUAUGGAAGGAGGCAUGAUUUGGUGGACCGUCUGUCCACCAGCCUGCCUCCACCCUGCCUUAGGCUUUCCUAUCGGAGGCAAUGAUGGUUUAGCCCAGUAUUCCCAGAGCAUCUUCUCCAGAGCACCGGGUCCUUGGGAUGCUAAUGCAUGUUAAAUCAAAAGGGUUCCAUGGUAAGUGGAGUUCGGGAAAGAUAAACAGGUGCCCUCGCUGCAGAGUCUUGCUUCUCAGAGCCUUGAAUAUGAUGAUAUUUGUUCAUGGGCUCGAUGAGGAAGAUGUAGUGUGCUGCAGUCAUAACUGCAGAGCAUGCCACAAUAUCACAGUCACCUAGAAAAUAUUUUGGGAAAAGGUAAAUUAACUGAAGCCCACAAAUAAAAUACACACAUUUCCCUCCGAGUUUCCCUUUGUUAUUAGUGCAGGAUCCUGGAUUCAUUUCUCCUAUUGCAGAGCUUCCACUUGAGGGGAUGGAACCUUCAGGAGGCCAGCAGAGUUCUAGAGGGCAGGAGCAAGAAGGCAGAUGAUCAAGGGGUGUCAUAGUCGUGGCUCCUCGGGCCAGUGAUGACUAAAAUAUGGCUUGGAGUGAUUGGUGUCUAGCUUUGCUCAGUGGGGUAAAUUUGCAAGACAAAGAUGUCAGGGCCUCACUGGAUCCCUCCUACUCUUUACUGCCCGCCCCAGCCCCCUACCUGCGACUCCUAUUGACUGUACCUCCAUAACACAUCCCAGGCCAGACCUCUUCCCUCCCCUCCAGUGUCACCCCAGUCCAAGCCACCUGGACAUGGCCACAUCCUCCUAAAUGGUCCCCUGGCUUCUGCUCCUGCCUCCCUAGAAGUUAAAUCAAACCCCUGCUUCAAACUCCUGGGUAGCUUUCCACUGCAUCCAGAGAAACAUCCCAAGUCCUUCCCUGGCUUCAAACGCUCUGCCUGCCCUAGCCCCUGCCUGCCUCCCAGCCUCACUCCAUGCACCUCCUGCCCACCUGCUACCCUUCAGCCACACUGGCCUUUCUUUCUACUCACCAAAGACCCCAAGCUCAUCCCACCCAGACCUCAGCCAGGCUGCUCCCUUGCCCAGCGUGCUCCCUCCUCUUCAUCCAGCUGGCUUCUCCUCAUCUGAGUCUCAGUGGAACGUCAAGACCAUCCUUGACUCGCCCACCUGCUGCUAACCUCUCCCUCACAUCACACUAUGUGAAUGGUCUCUAUGGCAUUUAUCCUGAAUGCCGGUUUUCUUCUUAGUUUAUCUGCAUUUGAUUUUGCCUGUCCCCGGGACCAGAAUGUCAGCCCCACGAGGGCAGAGGCAUCUGUCUUCAUCCCCUGUGCUGAGAACAGCACCUGGCACACAGUGGACACACGGCAGAGGGACAUUGAAUGGUCAGUGACCUCUCUGCACCUCACCUCCCCAUCUGACACUGUUUCCCAAAGGGAUCUCCAGCAAUUCGGGGAAAAAAGGAGAAGAGAUGGAGGAGAAAAUGAUCCCCAGGAAAUGCCAAAGAGGGAAACCACCACAACAGACCGUGUAUGGACAAGCUUCAUGCCUGUUGCUGUGUGGGCCACUCAAGAGAGUUCACCAGAACACCUGAUGACAUUAUCGAAGACAGUCAACUGGAAACCAGGAAAAUCCAUCAGAUGGAAACUACCAUCCUCAUUCCACCAUUUAAAGAUGCUUCUAACUGAAAUCUAGAAAUUUUCUCAAUUGGCUGUUCUCCAAACUCAGAAACUGAGUUCAUAAUUUGCUCAAACUAUUAACCUUUGUUUUCCUUUUGUCUCAAUAGAAAUGCCUCUUAUUAAGUUACCUAAUUGCUCGCAUCACAUAGAG